rnacentral:rRNA from 1 species
AUUGAACGCUGGCGGCAGGCCUAACACAUGCAAGUCGAACGGUAACAGGAAACAGCUUGCUGUUUCGCUGACGAGUGGCGGACGGGUGAGUAAUGUCUGGGAAACUGCCUGAUGGAGGGGGAUAACUACUGGAAACGGUAGCUAAUACCGCAUAACGUCGCAAGACCAAAGAGGGGGACCUUCGGGCCUCUUGCCAUCGGAUGUGCCCAGAUGGGAUUAGCUAGUAGGUGGGGUAACGGCUCACCUAGGCGACGAUCCCUAGCGGGUCUGAGAGGAUGACCAGCCACACUGGAACUGAGACACGGGCCAGACUCCUACGGGAGGCAGCAGUGGGGAAUAUUGCACAAUGGGCGCAAGCCUGAUGCAGCCAUGCCGCGUGUAUGAAGAAGGCCUUCGGGUUGUAAAGUACUUUCAGCGGGGAGGAAGGGAGUAAAGUCAAUACCUUUGCUCAUUGACGUUACCCGCAGAAGAAGCACCGGCUAACUCCGUGCCAGCCGCCGCGGUAA